rnacentral:rRNA from 1 species
AAAAACAUGUCCUUUUGUUUAUGAUUUAAGGUCUGACCUGCCCAAUGAUUAUUUUAAUGGCCGCAGUAUUUUGACUGUGCAAAGGUAGCAUAAUCAUUAGUUUUUUAAAUGGAAGCUGGUAUGAAUGGUUUGAUGAGAAAAUUACUGUCUCAACAUUAUUGUUUUAGAAUUUUAAUUUUAAGUUAAAAAGCUUAAAUGUUUUAUAAAGACGAGAAGACCCUAUAGAGUUUUAUUAAUUAUUUCGUUAAAUGGUUUUUUGUUUUUAUUUUCUUUUUACGUUUUAUUAAUUUUGUUGGGGUGAUGUAAAAAUUUAAUUAACUUUUUAUUUAUUUGAACAUUUAUUUAUGAAUUGUUGAUCCUUAUUUUAAGAUUAUAAGAUUAAAUUACCUUAGGGAUAACAGCGUAAUUUCUUUGGAGAGUUCUUAUCGAUAGAGAAGUUUGCGACCUCGAUGU